UACGUAGGUGGCAAGCGUUGUCCGGAAUUAUUGGGCGUAAAGCGCGCGCAGGUGGUUUCUUAAGUCUGAUGUGAAAGCCCACGGCUCAACCGUGGAGGGUCAUUGGAAACUGGGGAACUUGAGUGCAGGAGAGAAGAGUGGAAUUCCACGUGUAGCGGUGAAAUGCGUAGAGAUGUGGGGGAACACCAGUGGCGAAGGCGACUCUUUGGCCUGUAACUGACGCUGAGGCGCGAAAGCGUGGGGAGCAAACAGG
rnacentral:rRNA from 1 species